rnacentral:rRNA from 1 species
AACGAACGCUGGCGGCAGGCUUAACACAUGCAAGUCGAGCGCCCCUCCUUUCUGGGGAGCUUUGGGUAGUCUGGUUGGCUAUCUGGGGCUGUCUGGAUGGGGGGGAGCGGCGGACGGGUGAGUAACGCGUGGGGAUGUACCCAGAGGUUCGGAAUAACCCAGGGAAACUUGGGCUAAUACCGGAUGAGCCCUGAGGGGGAAAGAUUUAUCGCCUUUGGAUCAACCCGCGUCGGAUUAGCUAGUUGGUGGGGUAAUGGCCUACCAAGGCGACGAUCCGUAGCUGGUCUGAGAGGAUGAUCAGCCACACUGGGACUGAGACACGGCCCAGACUCCUACGGGAGGCAGCAGUGGGGAAUAUUGGACAAUGGGCGCAAGCCUGAUCCAGCCAUGCCGCGUGAGUGAUGACGGCCUUAGGGUUGUAAAGCUCUUUCGCACGCGACGAUAAUGACGGUAGCGUGAGAAGAAGCCCCGGCUAACUUCGUGCCAGCCGCCGCCGUAAAAC